CCUGGUGACCUUGGAGAAGGGGGUACACCCGAUCCCAUUCCGAACUCGGAAGUUAAGCCCUUCAUCGCCGAUGAUACUGCGGUCUAAAUCGUGGGAAAGUAGGUCGUCGCCAGGA
rnacentral:rRNA from 1 species